ACCUCAAAACUAGCCUAACCAAUUAUUAAACAUAACCCCAUUAAUUAAAUUCACACUCUUCCAAAAAUUAAAACAUUUUACAACUUUUAGUAUGGGUGACAGAACAAAGACUAAGCGCAAUAGAUUUGAGUACCGCAAGGGAAAGUUGAAAAAGAAAUGAAAUAAAUAAUUAAAGUACAAAAAAGCAGAGAUUAAACCUCGUACCUUUUGCAUCAUGAUUUAGCUAGACCAACUAGGCAAAGAGACCUUAAGCCUAUCAUCCCGAAACUAGACGAGCUACUCCGGAGCAGCAUGAAAGAGCAAACCCAUCUCUGUGGCAAAAGAGUGGGAAGACUCCCGAGUAGCGGUGACAAACCUAUCGAGCCUAGUGAUAGCUGGUUACCCAAAAAAAGAACUUCAAUUCUGCAUUAACUUUUUUAAUGUCAACUAAGAACAUCUCCAAAAGACUGAACAUAAAAAUUAAUAGUUAUUCAAAAAAGGUACAACUUUUUUGAAUCAAGAUACAACUUUUCAAGGUGGGUAAUGAUCAUAUUUACCAAGGACCAUUCCAUCAGUGGGCUUAAAAGCAGCCAUCUGUAAAGCAAGCGUCAUAGCUCCAGCCCAUAAUGAAACCUAUAAUUUAGAUAUUAUUUCCAAACCCCCUUAACCAAUAUUGGGUUAUUUUAUAAGAUUAUAAAAGAACUUAUGCUAAAAUGAGUAAUAAGAGGCUAAACCUCUCCCAACACCAGUGUAUAUCAGAAAGAAUUAAAUCACUGAUAAUUAAACGACCUCAAACUGAGAAAAUUAUAGAAAUUUAUUAUUAACUAGAAAAACCUAUUUAAUUACUCGUUAAUCCUACACAGGAGUG
rnacentral:rRNA from 1 species